AUUGAACGCUGGCGGCAUGCUUUACACAUGCAAGUCGAACGGUAACAGGCCGCAAGGUGCUGACGAGUGGCGAACGGGUGAGUAAUGCAUCGGAACGUGCCCAGUCGUGGGGGAUAACGCAGCGAAAGCUGUGCUAAUACCGCAUACGAUCUAUGGAUGAAAGCGGGGGACCGUAAGGCCUCGCGCGAUUGGAGCGGCCGAUGUCAGAUUAGCUAGUUGGUGGGGUAAAGGCCCACCAAGGCGACGAUCUGUAGCUGGUCUGAGAGGACGACCAGCCACACUGGGACUGAGACACGGCCCAGACUCCUACGGGAGGCAGCAGUGGGGAAUUUUGGACAAUGGGCGCAAGCCUGAUCCAGCAAUGCCGCGUGCAGGAAGAAGGCCUUCGGGUUGUAGACUGCUUUUGUACGGAACGAAACGGUCUGGGUUAAUACCCUGGGCUAAUGACGGUACCGUAAGAAUAAGCACCGGCUAACUACGUGCCAGCCGCCGCAGUAACAC
rnacentral:rRNA from 1 species